CGGGACACGUGGUAUCCUGUCUGAAUAUGGGGGGACCAUCCUCCAAGGCUAAAUACUCCUGACUGACCGAUAGUGAACCAGUACCGUGAGGGAAAGGCGAAAAGAACCCCGGCGAGGGGAGUGAAAAAGAACCUGAAACCGUGUACGUACAAGCAGUGGGAGCACAGAGCAAUCUGUGUGACUGCGUACCUUUUGUAUAAUGGGUCAGCGACUUAUAUUCUGUAGCAAGGUUAACCGAAUAGGGGAGCCGAAGGGAAACCGAGUCUUAACUGGGCGUUAAGUUGCAGGGUAUAGACCCGAAACCCGGUGAUCUAGCCAUGGGCAGGUUGAAGGUUGGGUAACACUAACUGGAGGACCGAACCGACUAAUGUUGAAAAAUUAGCGGAUGACUUGUGGCUGGGGGUGAAAGGCCAAUCAAACCGGGAGAUAGCUGGUUCUCCCCGAAAGCUAUUUAGGUAGCGCCUCGUGAAUUCAUCUCCGGGGGUAGAGCACUGUUUCGGCAAGGGGGUCAUCCCGACUUACCAACCCGAUGCAAACUGCGAAUACCGGAGAAUGUUAUCACGGGAGACACACGGCGGGUGCUAACGUCCGUCGUGAAGAGGGAAACAACCCAGACCGCCAGCUAAGGUCCCAAAGUCAUGGUUAAGUGGGAAACGAUGUGGGAAGGCCCAGACAGCCAGGAUGUUGGCUUAGAAGCAGCCAUCAUUUAAAGAAAGCGUAAUAGCUCACUGGUCGAGUCGGCCUGCGCGGAAGAUGUAACGGGGCUAAACCAUGCACCGAAGCUGCGGCAGCGACACUGU
rnacentral:rRNA from 1 species